AGCGAACGCUGGCGGCAGGCCUAACACAUGCAAGUCGAACGAAGUCUUCGGACUUAGUGGCGGACGGGUGAGUAACACGUGGGAACGUACCUUUUGGUUCGGAACAACUCAGGGAAACUUGAGCUAAUACCGGAUGAGCCCUUAGGGGGAAAGAUUUAUCGCCGAAAGAGAGGCCCGCGUUAGAUUAGCUAGCUGGUGAGGUAAAGGCUCACCAAGGCUACGAUCUAUAGCUGGUCUGAGAGGAUGAUCAGCCACACUGGGACUGAGACACGGCCCAGACUCCUACGGGAGGCAGCAGUGGGGAAUCUUGCGCAAUGGGCGAAAGCCUGACGCAGCCAUGCCGCGUGAAUGAUGAAGGUCUUAGGAUUGUAAAAUUCUUUUACCAGGGACGAUAAUGACGGUACCUGGAGAAAAAGCCCCGGCUAACUCCGUGCCAGCCGCCGCGGUAAAAC
rnacentral:rRNA from 1 species